rnacentral:rRNA from 1 species
CCUUCCAUGCAGUUCGAACGGCAGCACGGGAAGCAAUCCUGGUUGGCGAGUGGCGAACGGGUGAGUAAUAUAUCGGAACGUGCCCAGUCGUGGGGGAUAACGCAGCGAAAGCUGUGCUAAUACCGCAUACGAUCUAUGGAUGAAAGCGGGGGAUCGCAAGACCUCGCGCGAUUGGAGCGGCCGAUAUCAGAUUAGGUAGUUGGUGGGGUAAAGGCUCACCAAGCCGACGAUCUGUAGCUGGUCUGAGAGGACGACCAGCCACACUGGAACUGAGACACGGUCCAGACUCCUACGGGAGGCAGCAGUGGGGAAUUUUGGACAAUGGGCGCAAGCCUGAUCCAGCAAUGCCGCGUGCAGGAUGAAGGCCUUCGGGUUGUAAACUGCUUUUGUACGGAACGAAAGGGCUCUGGUUAAUACCUGGGGCAUAUGACGGUACCGUAAGAAUAAGCACCGGCUAACUACGUGCCAGCAGCCGCGGUAAUACGUAGGGUGCGAGCGUUAAUCGGAAUUACUGGGCGUAAAGCGUGCGCAGGCGGUAAUGCAAGACAGAUGUGAAAUCCCCGGGCUUAACCUGGGAACUGCAUUUGUGACUGCAUUGCUGGAGUGCGGCAGAGGGGGAUGGAAUUCCGCGUGUAGCAGUGAAAUGCGUAGAUAUGCGGAGGAACACCGAUGGCGAAGGCAAUCCCCUGGGCCUGCACUGACGCUCAUGCACGAAAGCGUGGGGAGCAAACAGGAUUAGAUACCCUGGUAGUCCACGCCCUAAACGAUGUCAACUGGUUGUUGGGUCUUAACUGACUCAGUAACGAAGCUAACGCGUGAAGUUGACCGCCUGGGGAGUACGGCCCCAAGUUUAAACUCAAAGGAAUUGACGGGGACCGCACAA